CUAUCGCUUACAGAUGGGCCCGCGGUGCAUUAGCUAGUUGGUAGGGUAAUGGCCUACCAAGGCAACGAUGCAUAGCCGACCUGAGAGGGUGAUCGGCCACACUGGGACUGAGACACGGCCCAGACUCCUACGGGAGGCAGCAGUAGGGAAUCUUCCGCAAUGGACGAAAGUCUGACGGAGCAACGCCGCGUGUAUGAAGAAGGUUUUCGGAUCGUAAAGUACUGUUGUUAGAGAAGAACAAGGAUAAGAGUAACUGCUUGUCCCUUGACGGUAUCUAACCAGAAAGCCACGGCUAACUACGUGCCAGCAGCCGCGGUAAUACGUAGGUGGCAAGCGUUGUCCGGAUUUAUUGGGCGUAAAGCG
rnacentral:rRNA from 1 species